rnacentral:rRNA from 1 species
GUCCUCUUGAUUAUAUUUUGAGGUCUGGCCUGCUCACUGACGCAGUUUUAAAGAGCCGCGGUAUUUUGACCGUGCAAAGGUAGCAUAAUCAUUAGUCUCUUAAUUAGGGGCUAGAAUGAAUGGCUUGACGAGAAAUCAUCUGUCUCUUAUUAAAUUAUAGAAUUUAACUUUUAAGUUAAAAGGCUUAAAUUUUUCUUUAAGACGAGAAGACCCUAUAGAGCUUAACAUUUUUAUUUUUAUAUAAUUUUUAGUUAAUCUUUUUAUAUAAAGAGAUAAUGUUUUGUUGGGGUGACAUGAAAAAUAAAUAAACUUUUCAUUCUUAAAUCAUUAAUUUAUGUUUAAUAUGAUCCAUAAUUUAUGAUCAUAAGAUUAAGUUACCUUAGGGAUAACAGCGUAAUUGUUUUUGAGAGCUCAUAUUGACAAAGCAGAUUGCGACCUCGAUGUUGGAUUAAGAAUAAUUUUGGGUGCAGAAGCCCAGUAAUUAGGUCUGUUCGACCUUUAAAUUCUU